UUUUUUCCCUUUAAAUUUAAUGUGUAUUGAAAGGGGAGUGAUCCUACUGAGGCAAAACUGCAAACUUUGUAAAAUUGUAUUCUGUCUGUUUUCCUGGGCUUAGUCUAAGCUGGAGAGCAGUGGGCAAAAAGAAAAUAAUGGUGCAUGAUCGUUGAACAGUGAGAGACUUGUAGAUGCGCUAAGCCGAUUCCAGAGGACCACGAACCGUGUCCAGGGCAGUACAGGGAGGCGACAGCCUCGCCACUGGGAAGAGGCAAACAUGCAGCUGUGAAAAAAUCAAAAAUGAUGGCAGCUGCUCAGAAGCAGCCUAUGAAGUCCUAGAACUGGAAUAUGUAAAGACAAUGGAUCCUGGCAGUACUCAAUGAAAUCUUCUGACUGACAAACCGCAUACCAUUAUCGCACCCGAGUCACCUGGAAAUUCGCGUUUUGGCUAUGAAGACCAUCCCCUCAUCUUAACCUGCAGCUAACAUUUGAGUUGAACAUAGCAGAUGAUGAUUUAGCAGCUGCGCCUUUAUCCAUCCUCAGAAUGAAUCUGUACACC